rnacentral:misc_RNA from 1 species
CGCAUAUGUUGAGAGUCUUGUAAACAGAAAUACAGUAACGCACGUAAACAUCACUUUAACACCAGACAAAGUGUAAUUUACAUUACAUACAAAACUCAUUACACACAUGAUAUCUUCAAGACGAGUCGAUAUUUCUUCCAACUCGUUCUACGGUAAAAGCAACCAAAUAAAAAGGACUUUAAUAUAAAUAUUGAACCCACAGUAGUAAACAGUCAAAUUCAAUGCAGAACCUCGAAGCAAACAGCUAAAGUAAAACAACCCAAGUCCAGCAG